UUCCUUUAGAUUUUGUUAAAGGUAAUUUCUGCCCUAUGAUGUUAAUUGAUUUAAAUGGCUGCAGUAUUUUGACUGUACAAAGGUAGCAUAGUAAUUAGUUUUUUAAUUGAGGACUUGUAUGAAAGGAUAUAUGAAGGAUUAUUUUUAUUUAAUUAAGUAUUAAAAUUUUAUUUUUUGGUUAAAAAGCUAAAUUGUGUUUUAGGGACGAGAAGACCCUAUAGAACUUAAUAUUUUAUAUAAUUAGUUUUAUUUAGUUAUUUUUCAAGAUUAUUUAAAGUGAAUAUUUAAUUGGGGUGAUUAAUAAAUUUAAAAGGCUUUAUUUCUAAAAUUCAUUUAUUAGUGUAAUUAUGAUCCUUACUAAAGAUUAAAAGAUAAGUUACCUUAGGGAUAACAGCGUAAUUUUAAUGGGAAGUUCAUAUUUAAAUUAAAGUUUGCGACCUCGAUGUUGAAUUAAGGUGAAUUUAAGGUGUAGGAGCUUUUUGAUUAAGUCUGUUCGACUUUUAAAACCUUACA
rnacentral:rRNA from 1 species